AAACCUUAUCAGUGGUGAGGUUAACAUCUCAUGCACUUCUAUGAACACCUCUGAGAAUGUGAAGUCAGGGCUGGCUUGUAAAAGACAAAUGAUUCAACACAUAGUUUGAACUUUUAUUUAUGUUUAAUUUUUUAAUUUUUACAAGAUGCCGAUAGUAGCUGGCUUAUUAAUGUACAUUAUUCUUUGAUAUUUCAGGAAGCCACAGUGUUCAACUGUGAACUACAGAGUCCUGUAAGUUUAAAAUAACUUUGUUUCUCAACUAUGUGAUAUCCAGGAUUUUUUACAAUUACUUUGAGAUUUUUCCUCAUCAGUAAUGCAAAGAAAAUUGCAAUAUGAUUAUACAAUUUAUUUUUAUUUUUUUAGACAGGUUAUCACUCUGUCGCCCAGGCCGGAGUGCAGGGGUGUGAUUGUAGCUCAUUGCAGCCUCAAACUCCUGGGCUCAGACGAUCCUCCUUCAGCUUCCUAAGUAGCUGAGAUUACAGGCACGUGCCACCAUGCCUGGCUAAUUUAUUUUUUGUAGAGAGAGGGGUCUCACUUUGUUGCCCAGGCUGGUCUCCAACUCCUGGGCUCAAGUGAUACCCAGCCUGGGCCUCCCAAAGUGCUGGGAUUACGGGUAUGAGCCACUGUGCCCAGCCUGAUAUACAAUUUCUUCCUCAGACAGUCUGGCUCUGUCGCCCAGGCUGGAGUGCAGUGGCACAAUCUUGGCUCACUGCAACCUCUGCCUCCCGGGUUCAAGCAAUUCUCCUGCCUCAGCCUCCCGAGUAGCUGGAAUUACAGGCAUGCACCACCAUGCCUGACCAAUUUUUGUAUUUUUAGUAGAGACCUGGGGUUUCAUCAUGUUGGCCAGGCUGUUCUUGAACUCCUGACCUCAAGCAAUCCGCCCACCUCAGCCUCCCAAAGUGCUUGGAUUUCAGGAGUGAGCUUUUGCACCUGGCCUGAUAUACAAUUUCUGAUGCUAUAGAAGCAAUGUAUAACUCCUAAUUUACUAGUGACUGCUAUGCGCUUCAUUAACAUUAUGGACAUGUCGAUCCCAAAAAUCAUAUAGAAAUGUUACUUUUUUUUUGAGACAGGGUUUCACUCUGUCGCCCAGGCUGGACUGCAAUGGCGUAAACAUGGCUCACUGUAGCCUCAACCUCUCGGGCUCAAGCAAUCCUCCUGCCUCAGCCUCCCAAAUAGUUGAGACUACAGGCAUGUGUCACCACACCCCUUAAUUUUUGUAUUUUCUUUUCUCAUUAUGUUGUCCAGGAUGGUCUCAAACUCCUGGGCUCAAGGCAUCCUCCUGCCUUGGUCUCCUAAAGUGUUAGAAUUACAGGCAUGAGCCACUGUGCCCAGCCAGAAAUGUUAAACUCACUUUAUGGUUUCAGAACAAGGAUCAAAUAAAAUAAAAAUAUAAAAAAUAAAAUAUGGUUGGCCAAGUGUGGUGGCUCAGCCCUCUAAUCCCAGCCCUUUGGAAGGCCAAGGCAGAAGGCUCGCUUGAGCUCAGGAGUUCAAGACUAGCCUUGGCAACAUAGCAAGACCUCAUUUCUGCUAAAAAUAAAAAACAUUAGCCAGACAUGGUGGUCCACACUUGCAGUCCCAGUUAUUCAAGAGGCUGAGGUGGGAGGAUCACUUGAGCUUGGGAGAUCGAGGCUGCAGUGAGCUAUCAUCGUGCCACUGCACUCCAGUCUGGCGACAGAGCAAGACCUUCUCAAAAAUAAAAUAUGGUCGAAACGGGACAGACAAGGCGGCUACCUGUAACCCUGGCCGCUUUAGGAGCUGGGGCAGGAAAGUUGCUUGAGGCCAGGAAUCCGAGACCAGCCUGAGCAACAGCAGGACCCGUCUAUGAAAAAACAGGAGCAAGUAGUGGCACAUCCCAAUUGUGUCAGCUAACUGGGAGGCUGAGGCAGGAGGAUCGCUUGAGCCCAGGAGUUCAAGGCUGUACUCCAGCCUGGGCGACAAAGCAAGAACCCUGUUCUCUAGGGAAAAAAAAAAAAAAGUCAAAACAUUUCAUAAAACUUUCACACAAUGGAGGUUUAGUUAAGCUGUUACUCUUCUGUUCAAUUUUGUUGCACCUAUCAGAAGGCAUAAUUUCAUAAAAUCAGGAUUCCUUGGCGUUUUAACCACUCUCAAAAUAUUUGAUCCUACUGGAAGUUACUAUGCAAUGCUAUCUUGUCCCUGAAUCAACAUAAUUCAACUAUCAGCUUCAUAUAUAUAUAUAUAUAUAUAUAUUUUUUUUUUUUGAGACAGAGUUUCGCUGUUGUUGCCCAGGCUGGAGUGCAAUGGCGCAAUCUUGGCUCACCACAACCUCCGCCUCCCGGGUUCAAGCGAUUCUCCUGCCUCAGCCUCCUGAGUAGCUGGGAUUACAGGCACGCACCACCACCGCAGCUAAUUUUGUAUUUUUAGCAGAGGUUGCCGUGAGGCGAGAUCGCGACACUACACUCGUCUGGGCAACAAGAGUGAAACUCCGUCUCAAAAAAAAAAAAAGUCAGAUCUGUGUAAAGAGAAUUAGUGUACCUGAAAAUUGUUUUCAGCUGUCAAUCACUUUGGUCCUUUACUGUCAUUCUAAGAAUCAGCCUAAUUUGGUU
rnacentral:lncRNA from 1 species